CGUAGGCUGUUAUAUAAGUCAGUGGUGAAAUAUUCGGGCUCAACCGGGGUACUGCCAUUGAUACUGUAUAGCUGGAAUAUGGUUGCUGUGGGUGGAAUGUGUGGUGUAGCGGUGAAAUGCAUAGAUAUCACACAGAAUAUCGAUUGCGAAGGCAACUCACAAAGCCAUUAUUGACGCUGAUGCACGAAAGUGUGGGGAUCAAACAGGAUUAGAUACCCUGGUAGUCCACACUGUAAACGAUGAUAACUAGCUGUCGGCGAUAGAUAGUCGGUGGCUAAGCGAAAGCGAUAAGUUAUCCACCUGGGGAGUACGACCGCAAGGUUGAAACUCAAAGGAAUUGACGGGGGCCCGCACAAGCGGAGGAACAUGUGGUUUAAUUCGAUGAUACGCGAGGAACCUUACCCGGGCUCGAACGGUGCAGGAAUAUGGUAGAGAUAUCAUAGCUAGCAAUAGUCUGUAUCGAGGUGCUGCAUGGUUGUCGUCAGCUCGUGCCGUGAGGUGUCGGCUUAAGUGCCAUAACGAGCGCAACCCUUGUCGUUAGUUACCAUCAAGUAAAGUUGGGGACUCUAGCGAGACUGCCACCGUAAGGUGUGAGGAAGGGGGGGAUGACGUCAAAUCAGCACGGCCCUUACGUCCGGGGCGACACACGUGUUACAAUGGUAGGUACAGAGGGGCGCUAUCCAGUGAUGGAGUGCGAAUCUCAAAAACCUAUCUCAGUUCGGAUUGGAGUCUGCAACUCGACUCCAUGAAGUUGGAUUCGCUAGUAAUCGCGCAUCAGCCAUGGCGCGGUGAAUACGUUCCCGGGCCUUGUACACACCGCCCGUCAAGCCAUGGAAGCCGGGGGUGCCUGAAGUUCGUGACCGCAAGGAGCGACCUAGGGCAAAACUGGUAACUGGGGCU
rnacentral:rRNA from 1 species